rnacentral:rRNA from 1 species
AGAGUUUGAUCCUGGCUCAGGACGAACGCUGGCGGCGUGCCUAAUACAUGCAAGUCGAGCGAGCUGAAUUCAAAGAUCCCUUCGGGGUGAUUUGUUGGACGCUAGCGGCGGAUGGGUGAGUAACACGUGGGCAAUCUGCCCUAAAGACUGGGAUACCACUUGGAAACAGGUGCUAAUACCGGAUAACAACAUGAAUCGCAUGAUUCAAGUUUGAAAGGCGGCGUAAGCUGUCACUUUAGGAUGAGCCCGCGGCGCAUUAGCUAGUUGGUGGGGUAAAGGCCUACCAAGGCAAUGAUGCGUAGCCGAGUUGAGAGACUGAUCGGCCACAUUGGGACUGAGACACGGCCCAAACUCCUACGGGAGGCAGCAGUAGGGAAUCUUCCACAAUGGACGCAAGUCUGAUGGAGCAACGCCGCGUGAGUGAAGAAGGUUUUCGGAUCGUAAAGCUCUGUUGUUGGUGAAGAAGGAUAGAGGCAGUAACUGGUCUUUAUUUGACGGUAAUCAACCAGAAAGUCACGGCUAACUACGUGCCAGCAGCCGCGGUAAUACGUAGGUGGCAAGCGUUGUCCGGAUUUAUUGGGCGUAAAGCGAGCGCAGGCGGAAGAAUAAGUCUGAUGUGAAAGCCCUCGGCUUAACCGAGGAACUGCAUCGGAAACUGUUUUUCUUGAGUGCAGAAGAGGAGAGUGGAACUCCAUGUGUAGCGGUGGAAUGCGUAGAUAUAUGGAAGAACACCAGUGGCGAAGGCGGCUCUCUGGUCUGCAACUGACGCUGAGGCUCGAAAGCAUGGGUAGCGAACAGGAUUAGAUACCCUGGUAGUCCAUGCCGUAAACGAUGAGCGCUAGGUGUUGGGGACUUUCCGGUCCUCAGUGCCGCAGCAAACGCAUUAAGCGCUCCGCCUGGGGAGUACGACCGCAAGGUUGAAACUCAAAGGAAUUGACGGGGGCCCGCACAAGCGGUGGAGCAUGUGGUUUAAUUCGAAGCAACGCGA